CUGAGCCAUGGUCGGCGGCUACAGUUGCGACAACUGCGACAACGCUUCGCGAGACGACGGAGUGACGUCAUCUCGUCGUGGAGGACGGCACGCUACAGGAGCAGGAGCACCACACUCGUCCGUACUGGUAUGGUGACACCUUCGCGCUAUCACGCCUGUGGUGACUCCGCUCCAGGCCAUUUGCCGCGUGAUCUAAGUGACGUCAUAACGUCGGACAGUUGCGUCAUAGACUUGGUGACGUCAUGCUGGGUGGUUGGUGACGUCAUACUGGAUGGUUGACGUCAUAGUGAGGGGUGACGUAAUACCGUACUAUUGUGACGUCAUGACGGGGGUGACGUCAUACUGAGCUUUUGACGUCAUAUAGCGAUUGUGGCGUCAUAUUUAACGGAGUUCGCGUUUUGUUGGGUGUUCCGUCGGCUGUUAACGUGUUCCCGACGGUUAUUGAUCGUGAAUGAACUGCACUCGGUGUUAUAUUAAGCAAACUCUAAGUUUUCACGUGAUCCUGGAUAAUUUUCCUAUUGAUUUACCUCACCUGUCUGGAGACUCACCUCGGUUUCACGCGUCGUCGAUAGGCGGUUUGUCCUCCGGGCAGCUCGCUGAUUGUCGUAGCUGGCUCGGUCGCCUUGCGUGAUAGGUUGAUCAACUGCUAACUAAGUCUUGUACUUCAAUUGGUCACACUUCUGUUAAUCAGCUAGAUGAUAGUUGGGAGCCGCUUUGAUUAGUUGUCAUCAAUCAUGAAUCCUCUAGAAGAGCUGAAAGUGUCGGAGUUGAAGGCGGAGUUGAAGGGAAGAGGUGCAGACACUAAGGGUUCGAAGCCGGCGCUGAUGCUGCGAUUAAAUGAGGUUUUGGUUCAAGAAGGAAUCGACGUUGCAUCAUUCGUUGCAGCUCGACGGGACGUUUCCGCCGAACCGAGAGCUGAUGCCGCAGCCGCUGAGGUGGCUGUUCCUGAUUUAGACAACACGGUCCCGGCUCCUGGACCCCUCGUCAGAGCCACAUCACAGAUGUCCUUGCGUAGUUCUGCCUCGCAAGUCUCCAUCUCUUCGUUGCGAGCAGCGGAGUCGGCGACGAAGGCGGGACUGAUGGCUCGAGCUGCCUUUCUGAAAAGGAAGCAGAAGAUGGAGAAGGAAGAACUGGAGAUGAAGAUGCGCAAGCAGAAGAUAGAGAAUGAAGAACUGGAGAUGAAGAUGCGCAUGGAGAAUCUGCAGUUGGAGAGUGAGCUGGCAGAGGUGGAAGCCAGAGAACGUGCACUGAUGGAAGCCGAAGAGCAAGGUUCUCAAACAAGACCAGGCGUGGCUUCGUUGCGAGCUGUCUGUCCAGCUGAGCCGAACGAGAGGACUGGACAUGCAGAAGACGUUGUCGGCAGCGAGCAACCACUGGUCACUGUUCAGUCAGACGCUGGGGCUUCAGAGGCGCGUGCUGAUCAGAUGAACGUCAGGAAGAAUCCACCUCAACCUGACCUUAACGCUUCACAGCCCGAUGCUACACAGGUCAUCCUGUCCCAGAUCCAGCAAAGUCGUCUCCCGAGACCAGAGUUGCCAGUUUUCAAGGGUGAUGUAACACAAUACAGAUCCUUCAUCCGUGCCUUCGAUAGCAGGAUCGGGAGCAAGACCGACAGUGAUUCGGAGCGGCUGUUCUACUUGGAGCAAUACUGCGCUGGAAAACCACGGGACAUCAUCAGAGGAUGUCUUCACAUGACCGAAGAUGUUGGAUAUCUGGAGGCUCGGCGACUGCUGGAACGAAGAUAUGGCGACCCAGAAACAGUCUCGUCGGCAUUCGUUGACAUGUUGAUGGACUGGCCUCAGCUGAAGCCAGGAGAUGUUGAAGGACUUGAUCGUUUCUCACUGGCGCUCACCUCGUGUUUGAAUGUAAUGCAGAGCAUUCCUCUUGGAGCCAGGGAGACUGACCAUCCCCGGACGAUGCGGAAAGUUGUAGAGAAGCUCCCCAGCCAUCUGCAGGACUCCUGGCGGCGACGAGCUCACAAGAUCCAAGAGUCUGAGAAGAGGAGGGUGAAGUUUCAAGACGUCGUCACCUUCGUCGACAGCGAGGUGCAAAUCCAGACCAAUCCUACGUUUGGCAGGCACCGAGAAGAACGAGUCAGAAGACAGACACACACAGUCUCAGCUACAGCAGUUGCAGGAGCGGUACAGUCCUCGAAGAGUUGUCUGUACUGUCAUGGUAGUCACUUCACUGAUCUGUGUGCUGAGUUGGUCAAGCUGCAAUGGGAAAAACGGCGAGAGUUCGUUCGUGAGAACAGACUGUGCUUCGGAUGCCUUCGAAAGGGCCACAGAUUCAGUAACUGCUUCAGGAAGCUCGUCUGUGGAACUUGUAAGCGGCUGCAUCCAACAGCGAUGCACAAGAACGAAAGUGCUGAAGGAACUGGUCAGAACCCUUCUGAUGGAAAUGGUGAGCAAAACACUUCUGUGAAGAAUGGACGAUUGGAUGCAUCGCCGACUGAAGUCUCUGCUGGUACGGCAAGCUGCAGGUCGUCGGCGAUGAUGGCUAUUCUGCCGGUGAAGAUGUGGAACGCUGACUGCUCUCGUUCAGUCGUCACGCAUGCGUUCUUGGAUUUGGGCUCAAGCGCAACGUUUUGCACGCCGAAUCUUCUGAAGGCGCUGGGCAUGGAAGGAGAAACUACGGAGCUCACAAUGACGACUGCAACAGCUGAGAACCAGCGGAUUUCCAGCACAUUGGUGAAAGGCCUGAAGAUAUCUGACAUGGCGGGGAAGAAAGUAAUGGAUUUACCGCCGUCGUACACGUUGCAGAGAAUUCCAGUCGAUCGCCAGGAUAUCGCAACAGCUACGGAUCUGGAGCGCUGGCCACAACUGCAAGAGGUUGUUCCCCCGGAAGUACAUGCGGAUAUUGAACUUUUGAUCGGAGCCAAUUGUCCUCAGGCCCUGAUACCUCUCGAAGUUCGCGCUGGUGGAGAGGGAUGCCCAUUUGCCAUUCGUACGUCUCUUGGAUGGGUGGUGUAUGGACCAAGAUCCCGCAGCCGGGUUUUCGAUGGAAGCGCGAGAGUAAAUCGUAUCGAGGUACUAAGCCCAACAGAUGAUGAAUUUGACCUUCACAGCAAAUUUGUCGCGCUCUACAACCAGGACUUCGAGCAUGAUCUUAGUUCCACAGACGUUGGCUUCUCCAUUGAAGAUCGAGCGUGGAUGAAGAUCGUGGAGGGCGGAGUCCGUCACCUGGAUGGUCGUUACCAGAUACCCCUGCCACUGAAAAGCGAGAUCAUCCUGCCGGACAACAAACAGCAAGCAGAGAGACGAGCAGAGCAGCUGAAAAGGAAAAUGCUCAAGAGCCAGAAGUAUCUCCAAGACUACAAAACAUUUGUCAAUGAGUUAAUCGAGAAAAACUACGCAGAACGUGUCAAGAACGAGCAGAUCGACAUGGCAGAGGGACGUACCUGGUAUAUACCGCAUCAUGGUGUAUAUCAUCCGAUGAAACCUGAAAAGAUUCGUGUCGUCUACGAUUGCUCUGCAACUUACCAGGGCAUGUCGCUCAACAGUCGGCUGCUGCAAGGACCAAAUCUGACGAGUUCUCUCUUGGGCGUGUUGCUGAGGUUCCGAGAGGGACCGGUAGCAGUCAUGGCUGAUAUUGAAAAAAUGUUCUAUCAGGUGAGGGUUCCGGAGGAUGACAGAAGUUUGCUCAGAUUUUUAUGGUGGCCGAAUGGUGACACAGAACGGGAACUGGAAGUGUAUCAGAUGAAUGUGCACCUCUUCGGUGCGAUCAGUUCUCCGUCUUGUGCAAACUUCGCGCUACGGAGGACAGCGCAGGACUUCGGAGAUAAGUUUGAUGCUGACGUCAUAGACAGUAUUCAACGCUCGUUCUAUGUUGAUGAUUUCAUGAAGACAGGAUCUACGGCUGAUGAGGUGUUGAGGAUUGCAAGAGGAGUCAGAGACUGCUGUGCGUUGGGAGGAUUCCGACUGACCAGCUUCGUCAGUAACUGCCCUGACGUCAUGUUCUGUUUCCCGGAAUCUGAGCGCGUGACACACAAGAAGUUUGAUCUGACCGGCCACAAUCUUUCUGCGCAGACGCUAAGAGCUUUGGGUGUUCAGUGGGACGUAUCUGAAGAUACUCUUAGCUUCCGUGUUGAUGUCAGGAGGGGUCCGACAACCAGGAGAGGCAUUCUUUCUACAGCAAGUGCCGUUUAUGAUCCGCUAGGGUUCGGAGCUCCUUUCGUCAUGUCAGCCAAAAUCCUGUUGCAAGAUCUCUGCAGGCUGAAGUUGGGAUGGGACGACCCGGUUCCAGAUGCUCACCUGAGAAGAUGGGAUCAGUGGUGCAAAGAACUGAGCCUUCUGCGGGAGUUCAGCGUGCCAAGAAGUGUGACUGCACCAGACACGGUGGUGAAUUGCCAACUUCACAUGUUUGCUGAUGCAAGCGAAGCUGGCUACGGUGCAGUAGGCUACACCAGGGUGACUGACAGCACAGGGACAGUUCGCACUUCGCUUCUGAUGAGCAAGGCCAGAGUAGCGCCGCUGAAGACUUCUUCAAUCCCUCGACUAGAGCUGGCCGCUGCGACGCUAGCUGUGCAGUUGAGCACACAGAUACUUACCGAACUUGACCUGAAAGUUGACGAAGUGCAUUUUUGGACGGACAGUGUGUCCACGCUUCGCUACAUCCACAAUACCACUUCUCGUUUCCAGACAUUUGUGUCCAACAGGCUUUCCGUCAUCCAUGAUGGUUCUGAGCCCGUUCAGUGGAAGUACGUGCCGUCUGCACUGAACCCGGCGGAUGCUCUCUCCCGUGGACAGUCGGCACGCGAGUUUCUUCAAUCGGUAUGGGCUACUGGCCCAGCGUUCCUCGGCGCAGAAGCAGCUGAAUGGCCUGACCAGAAGCAUGUGAUCCAACGCCAUGAAGAUGUUGAAGAUCUUGAGGUAAAGAGAGGCUUGGGGACUCUCUCGGUAGCAGCUGAGUGUGACAGUACUUCGAAGUUGUUGAACAGCGUAUCUGACUGGCACAAGCUCAAGAGGCACGUGGCGUGGUGGCUUCGGCUGAAGUGCAUGCUGCGGAAGCGGUUGAUGAACAGAGGUGAUUGUGAUGCCGAGGUAGCGGGUCAGCUCUCGCGGGUCAGCUCUCGCUUGACCGUUCAAGAACUUGAUGAUGCAGAAGUGGCGAUUGUGCAGUACACUCAGAAGAAGGCCUUUCCAGAAGACUAGUUUGUGUUGAUUGAUAGCUGUAUUUCCAGAAGACUGAACUGGGGAUUGACUGCAAGCGGUUGGCGAUGAAGGCUCCAAUUGCGCUUAGCACGUUUGGUCUGUUGAACCUGGAAGGUUCAAGGGUGGGGGUGUAGGCGCGCCAUUUCCAUUUUGUCAUUUUAUGUUCCUUAGUCCACGUUUACCAUUCUGCUGAUUUCCUAUUUUCUUCCUUGGUUUCGCAGCCUUGGCACAUUGCUCGCUCGGUCCCUCUGACCUGUCGAGGUCACCGGCUGACCGUAGCCUGGGGCAGGGCCCAGGAAUGUAGCUGCGCCGUCGCGACCGCAGGGUCAGAAAAGUAGUAACUGGAAACUGUGAUAUUUGACUCGUUAAUGUGUAUGUUAUGCCCAAUAAUGUGCUCAGGAUUGUAAAAUGUAUUGUUUGAUGCGAGUAGGGAUCUCCUGGACAUUUAAGUUGCGAAUAUGAUAGCUGACGCGGAUGAACAUUUCUGAAUAUGGGCGGUGCCCGGCGCCCCGGCGCUGGUCGGGGGCGCGGCGCGGGUCAGUUGAGCCCCGUUGAGGCUGGUGGUAUGUGGUGGUGUCUGCGCCAGAGCCGCCAUUUACCAAGACCGUGAGGCUGGUCGUCUAAUGUGCCUCUGGAGACGUGUGCCUCUGGUUUCGUUAGCCGAUAAGCGACUCAGGGAGCACAUUUGUCGCAACGAUUGCGUGCGGAGGGCCACACGGUCCAAUACACCGAUCCGUGACG
rnacentral:misc_RNA from 1 species